CUUUCUGAUGCUUCCUCUGUAAAUAGUUUUCUCCUUUUUUUCCCCGCCCUAUCCCUAUCCCUUAACCUUGAUCCCCUUUCUAUUGCGACUUUAUAAGAGACAGAACUUUUACUCCUCGGAAAUUGUUAAAUAAUUCAUAUAUUCUCAACCAAUCAGCCAGGAACAGUCCGAACAGCCAAUCUCCGUAAUCAUGAGACUGCUCAUCCCACCCAGAAGAAAGGGACAGAACUUAGGUAUGUUUUCUCUCUAGUCACAGCCAUUGGACAGGACUCCAAAGGCAGGGUCUGGGGCCCCUCUGAGGGGGACAAAGCUUGCAGGGACUAGGAGGAGGCUUAUGGCAGAAAAGGACACUCCUCUUAGAUAGAGUACCUUCCCAAAGUACACGACUGGAUGUUGAGGCAACCUGAAAGAUUCUCCUGAGCUCGCGAUUGGAUUUCAGUUGUUAAUCGUCAUUUAGUUCCCAAACGGAGCAAGAAAGCAGCCUAGUGGAACGGCAUGGAGAGAAAGAAGCUGCAAUAUUAGCCAUCUUUUUGGGGAGAAUGUUCCUUUGUGGAUGGGAAAGGGUGUAUUGUCUCCUAACUGCUGGGAGGGUCUUAGGCUGGGGUGGGAACUUUGUCUGAAAGAGGCAAGGGGGAAAGAGUCUGACAAAAGUGCCUGAUUUUACCCUGUUUAAGGUUUAUGCUUGUGUGUGUCUGCAUCGUUGUGAUAGCUUUGUUUAUUCCUAAGGGUUGGGUGGUUAUUUUUUAAAAGCAUUUUCUUGCCAUUUUCUUUUUCCCUUGCUCUGAAGAGUAGGCUGGUUGGCCCGGGAGUGGAGGAGCGGCCGGCCCUGAGCCCUGACUUUGCUGAAUAGCGCAGAAUGGCGAUUUUCCGGCAAGAGUGGGCUCAGACAGGCUCUCCCUCUAACCCGCGCCCUCCGAUCUAGCUCUCCUCCUCUGGGGUCGCCUUUCUGAGCCCCAGCUUUUGUCUAAUGAGCCACGUGUCUACCAUAGAAAAACCCAACCUCUUGGGACUCUUUUUUUUCUGGGUAGUUGUAGUCAUUGCUUAAGUUUGCUUGGUGCUGUCCCCGCCGUAGGGCAAUUAGUAUGUACGUUUCUUUCUAAGUACCGAGGAAAACUGGUAGGAUUGAUGCCUGCGCCCUUCUUUCAUUUGCAUUGUAUUUUAUUUUGAGUGUAAUUAUUGCUGUCUUUGUAAUUUUAGAGUUUGAAAUAAAAUUGAAAAAGGACCAAAAAAACCCA
rnacentral:lncRNA from 1 species